AUAAAAUUCCACCAGCAUGUAACAUUUUAUUGGACAGUAAUGAAAUACUUUGGAGAAGGAUUUCCAGUUCAUAUAACACAUUCAAAACGUCGAUUCACCUUAUGUUUUGUGAGCCAUUAUCAUUAAUUCUCUUUGCAAACCAAGUUCCAGUUGUUCUGCAGAUUACUUGCACCAAGAAUAAGAAGAUAAAGUUUGUACUGAAGAGCUGAACCUUGUGGGAUGUACAGGAGACUCCUGAAAAUGCUAAGUCUGAUUCAGACCGACAUUUCUACAACCAUGACUUCCACUGAAGGAGGACUGUGUACUUCCCUCUGAAAGAGGAAGUCAGCAAACUCUUACAAUAAAAUUAACGCUCAGUUUCCAGUUCAGAUUAAAUUGCCCACGAGAAGGAGGAGGACAUGCUGAUGACGUGUUCAUGCCUGUGUAUCCAAUCAACGUGUUGGACUAGGAAUGUUUGCAGACACAGUGCUCAGCCAUGCAAAGUGAUGCUCCCAAACAGGGCAUUGGAGCAGACUCAGCCCAGCAAAGCUGCAGGUAGAGCAGAACUCGUUGCCACUGUUUUCCAUAUGUUCCUCUCUAUGGGGGCCUGACUGGACCUCGACCUGAGGAGGAAGCAGGACAGAAACUUA